UACGUAGGGGGCGAGCGUUGUCCGGAAUUACUGGGCGUAAAGCGCGCGCGGGCGGCCCGGCGCGUCGGUCGUGAAAGGCCCCGGCUCAACCGGGGUUGGUCGAUCGAGACGGUCGGGCUGGAGGGCGUCAGAGGGGGGUGGAAUGCCGGGUGGAGCGGUGAAAUGCGUAGAGAUCCGGCGGAACACCAGCGGCGAAGGCGGCCCCCUGGGGCGCACCUGACGCUGAGGCGCGAAGGCCGGGGGAGCGAACGGGAUUAGAUACCCCGGUAGUCCCGGCAGUAAACGAUGGGCGCUGGCUGUUGGCGGUUUGACCCCGUCAGCGGCUGAGCUAACGCGCAAGCGCCCCGCCUGGGGAGUACGGCCGCAAGGCUAAA
rnacentral:rRNA from 1 species